GAUUAACGCGAAGAACCUUACCUACCCUUGACAUGGUCGGAAUCCUGCUGAGAGGUGGGAGUGCUCGAAGGAGAACCGGCGCACAGGUGCUGCAUGGCCGUCGUCAGCUCGUGUCGUGAGAUGUUGGGUUAAGUCCCGCAACGAGCGCAACCCUUGUCCUUAGUUGCUACGCAAGAGCACUCUAAGGAGACCGCCGGUGACAAACCGGAGGAAGGUGGGGACGACGUCAAGUCCUCAUGGCCCUUAUGGGUAGGGCUUCACACGUCAUACAAUGGUCGGAACAGAGGGUUGCCAACCCGCGAGGGGGAGCUAAUCCCAGAAAACCGAUCGUAGUCCGGAUUGCACUCUGCAACUCGAGUGCAUGAAGCUGGAAUCGCUAGUAAUCGCGGAUCAGCAUGCCGCGGUGAAUACGUUCCCGGGCCUUGUACACACCGAAUCACUAGU
rnacentral:rRNA from 1 species